UUUCUCCUGGAAACGGGUGGUAAUGCCGGAUGUUCCACAUGAGCGCAUGCGAGUGUGGGAAAGGCUUUUGCGGCAUGGGAUGGGGUCGCGUCCUAUCAGCUUGUUGGUGGGGUAACGGCCUACCAAGGCGUUGACGGGUAGCCGGCCUGAGAGGGCGACCGGCCACAUUGGGACUGAGAUACGGCCCAGACUCCUACGGGAGGCAGCAGUGGGGAAUAUUGCACAAUGGGCGCAAGCCUGAUGCAGCGACGCCGCGUGCGGGAUGGAGGCCUUCGGGUUGUAAACCGCUUUUGUUCAAGGGCAAGGCACGGUCUUUGGCCGUGUUGAGUGGAUUGUUCGAAUAAGCACCGGCUAACUACGUGCCAGCAGCCGCGGUAAUACGUAGGGUGCAAGCGUUAUCCGGAUUUAUUGGGCGUAAAGGGCUCGUAGGCGGUUCGUCGCGUCCGGUGUGAAAGUCCAUCGCUUAACGGUGGAUCCGCGCCGGGUACGGGCGGGCUUGAGUGCGGUAGGGGAGACUGGAAUUCCCGGUGUAACGGUGGAAUGUGUAAAUAUCGGGAAAAACACCAA
rnacentral:rRNA from 1 species